rnacentral:lncRNA from 1 species
GCGGGAGUGCAAUGGAACAAUCUCGGCUCACCACAACCUCUGCAUCCCUGGUUCAAGUGACUCUCCUGUCUCAGCCUCCUGAGUAGCAAGAAUUACAAAUGCUGACAUCGUUUUAUGAAUGCAAACAGUCAAGGAGAGCAGAUGUUGAGUGGUUGCCAGAGUGAAAUGAGGAAGCCCUGCUGCCAGCUUCCCACCAAAAAGCAGGCUCCAGCCCUGAACGCCGCAGAAUUGCUAAAGAAGUUGCUAACGGAGGCUGGAGAGAGUCCGCAAGCUAAUAGCUUCCUUCAAAAUGGAAUAGGAAACAGAAAGCAUGAAUAA